rnacentral:miRNA from 1 species
CUUCCAGUAGCACCUUAGAGACCAACUAAGUUUGUUAUUGGUAUGAGCUUACGUGUGCAUGUGGUAUCUGAAGAGGUGUGCAUGCACACGAAAGCUCAUACCAAUAACAAACUUAGUUGGUCUCUAAGGUGCUACUGGAAG